GCUUGGUGCAAACCGAAUUUUAUUUUUCACGGUUUGCGUACUCGAUAAACGGUGCGUACUUAAAGCUAACCUUGAGGACACCCGAUAUCGAUGUAUCCUGGCCUGUCCGCUCCGCAUAUCCUACCGAUCUUUUACUAGAGUACUUUCUUUCCCCGACUAGUAUAUCGUCAUCCCUUUCGCGGCGUUACACGAACGAGAUGUUGAGGAUUUUUUUCUUUUUUUCACGGUAUGCUAAUAAUGGUAUUUUCGCUCGAACAGACUCGAGUUAAUCGUGUCCUCUUCGUCUUGGCGCGUUCUCGUCACCAAAAGAUUCGCCGAUGCAUACUGCGCGAGCCCAAGCAACGAAUAACAAAUAAACGGAAGGAUGCGGCAUACGAUUCGAUGAACAAAUGGCAACUUUCGAUCGUGUCGAUGGAUUUUUUUGAUUAUAUCUCUGGAAUGACCUUUGAUCGUGUAUAUCCUCUUCGCCAACAUUUAUCCCGUUUCCGUAACCUCUUGAAAUUCCUUUAAUAUAUCUUUGCAAAUGAUUAUGUAUUUUAAACGCGACACGCAAACGCAUACACAAAACGCUCAGCACCCCUCACACGUACACAAAUAUGUAGACACAGUACAUAUAUGCAAAGACACAUUGCGAAUGUCGAGAGUAAUUGUUAGCGUAGCUAGUAUAUUUUGAUGAGCGCUAACCACCCAUUAGUUGAGAAUGAUCAGUAGGUGAAGCAUGCUGGUUGAAAUAUCUUUUAGAGCCGGUUAUCCUCCAUUGUUUCGUCACACCGCAUUCGUCGUUUCUUCGUAUAACUUGAAAGCACACAGUGUCUCGCUGCUCUGUCUUCUUGCUAACUUUUAACGCGACGCGCCAAGGGUAUAUUCGAUUGAACAUUUUUCUUUUUUCCACAUCUUUUCCUUUUCUUUUAUUUUAAUUAGUUUUUCGUUCUUUCGUUCGUUUAUUUCCUCGAUUACAUUUUUUCUUUUUCAUGGUUCAAAGUGUUUGUAGCGUGCAGCACUCGUCCGUUUUUACAUUUCAUGAUUUACUUGUUCGGGAAAAAGACAACGGUUAAUUAUUUACGUCGACUGUCGACGAUUCUCCAAGCAAUACGCGUCGUGCCGUUUACGACAUCCCAGUCGAUCGUAACUUUGUGCCUUGUCUUACCGUUACUUAGUAUUAUUAUCAUUAUCAUUAUCAUUAUUAUUAUUAUUAUUAUUAUUAUUAUUAUUAUUAUUAUUAUUAUUAUUAGCGAUUAUCGUCGAUCGAUUUACUCGACUUUCUCGUCAACCCCGCGUAUACGUUUCGCAAUUACCGAAACAUCGUUGCUCUUCAUCUUUCUGGUCAGCGAUUAUAUGUAUACAAAUUAGGCUCAGCCUCGAGCGCAGCGAAGGUCGCAAUGGGUUUGCACAAAUUCGAAAUUCUCGUUGCAGAGUUUCGUUCCCUCUCCCUCUCCUUCUCUUAUCCCGUAUCAUAUAUACAUAUAUAUAUUUUUUUUUUAUUUUUUUUUAGCCUUAUAUUGUCUUCUGUCUAUUUUCCUAUCUGUCUGUAUGUACGUGAGAGUGUGUUUUCGUGUUGCCAUAAUCGGUGAGGGAUAUAGUCGUGCAACGAGCAUCGUCCAACGAUCGUGUCUCGAGAAAGUUUGCGCGAACCUGUUCGCUACCCGCUCGAGCGAGGCGGAUUCGUCAAUGCCCAAAGGGAAACGAAUCGGAUUCUGAGACCGCCGCGCGUCCGCGUCCGCGCCCACUCGCGUCCACUCUAUAUUUUAGUUGGCCAUGUAGAAGAAUAUUUUGCUCGACGAAACGUACUUAGAAAUCGCAAUCUAUUCAUCUCUGACCUUACGAUUGUUCGGAGAUUGUCUAUCGACGGAAGUUUUAUCCAUUGCCUCGUCUUUUUUCAUAAGAUUCUUCUGUCGAAGGAGUCUUCGAACAACCGAGAAUGCGGUGUUUUACGAUUAUUAAUAUAGACAAAGUAGCGAUUUCAACUUAACAUUAAUUUUUCGAGCAUUAUUUUCUUCCUUGAUGCACCACUCUUCGACGCGAAAAAUUUCUUGAAAAACGGACGCGUGCACGUACAUUUAUUUCCAUGAUCAUCGGCCGUAAACUAGAGAGCGAAUGAAAGAAACGGGGGAGAGAGAGAGAGAGAGAGAGAGAGAGAGAGAGAGAGAGAGAGAGAGAAAGAGCACAACUUAGCAGGAAUACGCGGGGCGGCGAACACGAAAAACGACAAGUAUGACAUAGUUUAGUUCGAUGCUUAGAUGAGUUGCCAAUAAAGUAGUUGGUUUCAAACUUGUAGCUAACCUGUAUAUUGUGUACCUAUUUUGUAUACUCUGACCAGCUCCCGUUCGUCCUACGCUGAUCCCCUCCUUUUUUUCGUAACAAACACUUUUCCUUCCGUAUACAUAUAUACAUAUCCUCGCUAACUGUAUUUCUUUCGUAUUUUGAUCUCUGGCAAAAGUAAUUUAUCUGUGUUUUUCAUUUUGGUGCUGUGUAAUACUACGCUAUUCUCUCGCUCAUUCAUAUACCCGUAUAUAUGCAUUGUUUAUGUCUCCUCGUAUACCCCACUCAACUUGGAUCUAAAGUGUCUAUAUUGUAUCUUUUGUACGAAUCGUGAUACACGCUAUUCUAGAGCGUAUAUCGAUUAUUUUUCCAUUUAUUUCUUCUUCUACUCUGUUUCAUUUUUUCUUUCUUUUCUUCCUCUCCUUUUUCAUGUUAUUUUAUGUGAAAAAAAUUUGUUUGCAAAUUUUUCAUUUGUCAGCGGUGUCGAAGGUUGGCGCAGCCGUUGGUGCCGGAGGCGCGCCACCGCGGGCGCAUCGCUAAUUGGCUGAUUAAUAUUAAGCUGUAAUUAGCCUCGUUAACCCCGGUGGGCACUCGUUUCGCGACGCUCUCUGAUUGGUCGGAACACGGCCCCUGCGUGCCCUUCGGCUCAAAGCCAGCGCGCGCCGCGCAUCGAGGACCUUUCUCGAGCGAUUCCAAUCGUAUCUCGCGUCGUUUACGAAUCGCCAAUAACAAAUAACGAGUUUCGUCUAAUCUCGGUAAAAGGUGAAAAGUCUGCUCGCAAACUAGAUACACGUAGUCUCGUCAAGUUUCGAACGCGCGACUAGGAUUUAAUCGCGAAACAAACAAGCUGAGAAAGGUGUGACACGAAUCGAAAUACGAAAAGGUCUUGGACACACCGAACAGAGAAGCGGACAACGGGUUGAAACAUUCCAUUAAAUCAUCGAGAAACAAACCUCUUUGUUUCGUGUUCUCAACUACGUACGAUACGAUACGAUACGAUACAUAGAAAGAAAGCGGUUUCCGAUCAACGCGUUAACGGGAAAAACGGCCAUUCCUAUCGAAAGGAAGGACGGUGUGCACUCCGCCGGCACUCAUAGGCAAAACUCUUUUCUAACAUUUCUUCCUCUUUCCUGUCGCCCCAUGUUGCUUCUUAAGCGGUCCAAGACAACCAGAGGAAUUGUUGUAGCGCAUGCAUUUUAGCUAGAGUACCCCAGGCGCGCUCUAACCAGCAAGUAAGAGUAAAUUUAAAAAUUAAAUUUCGAUAUGUACACAGUUUUUUCUCCGCCAAGACCCAACAGGCUCCUUCUUUCGCGGUCGCUCAAUCUUUUUGCUGCCAAAGCAAACGACGAUUCGCAAUUUUAACUUUGAUUUACCCUGGAAUAUAUAAUACGAUAAUAUAAUAUACCGACGUCUUGUCGAACUUUGGCAGUUGAAAGAUGAGAAUUUUGAGCAAUCGAUGGAAGAAUCGUUACUUGGUUUUCCCAUUCCUCCGAUAUCCCGAAGAGUACGAAGGCUCGGCUUACCACCUCUACGUCCUUUUAACCUUUUGCGAAUGGACCGGUAAUUUAUUAAUUUCGAUCGAACAACAAAAUUAACCACAUGGAACGAUGUUAUUAUCGAAUAUCGAAAAGUCGAUCGGUGGCGUACGAGGCAAACAAACCCGCUGACCUGCCGAACAACUAGAGUCCAAGCGCAAAGGAUUGACGAGACAAGUGUGUGCGUUUUGCCGCUUGCCGAUUUCAGAGCCGUUCAGUUGCCGAUAAAAAAAUAGCUGACCGCGACUAGCCUGAUCGGAUUGCGAUCGAAUCCAACAGAAUCUGAACAGACUUUACUCGAUCCAAAAACCCUUUUUGCACGUACGCUCGAUCAAAGGAACGAGCAAAGACACCUGGCAUCGCAGCACGGAGAAAGAUAUGUUCCGGUUUCCAGAAAUUCGCGGGAAUCGAUCGCGAGAGACCUCUCCGAUCUUUACGUAGAUCGAGAGAGAUUUAAAAAUUGUUCGCUAGAGACGCGAAAACCUUGCCUUCGAAACGAUUCGAGAUGAAUAGUUGACGAUCAUAGGGAUCGGUGUACAUAUCGUCGAAUUGUCAUAGUUUGGUACGAGUUGUACAAUAGGUUGUAGAUGGUUUUAUACGUAGGUUGCGCGCUGUGAUUCCUCUCGUGUUGUGUCGUUGUUCUCGCGAAAACGAGCAGCAAGAAAAACGUAAUACGAUAUAAUAAAUGUAAGAGACAUUUUUUCGCGUAGCUGGACCGAUUCGAUCAACGUUUAACUAGUCUCGCGUGAGCAAUCAGAAUUCUUUCAGCUGCAUCGAGCGAAGCGUAAGACAUAUCGAUAACCUCCGACAUAUCAUUUUACGAUUUAUCAAGAUUUCAGUCGACUCGAGUCGACUAUAAUAUUUCGCGAUUUCGUACCGACACGACGGAAAACGGAAAACGGAAAACGGAAAACGGAAAACGGAAAAGAUACGCGUUCGUUUCGUUCUGCUUUCUCCGUGCAGUUGGGGGCGCCACUCUUUCCUUAGUUUUACGAUGUUUGAUUCGACAGAACCCGAGUGCCUUAUUCGAUCUCCCUGUGCCCCCAUCGUGUAUUCCCAACCCCGAGACCAAACACCCUUCGAAAUUCGAACGAAAAUAACUCAACAACUAAAGAAACGAUACACAGAGAUACGGAGAGUGAAAAAUGUAAGAGAAAAAGAUAAGCAAGACAGCGAAAAGAAAAACAGCAACUAUUCCGAUGCAUAUUAAUUCCCAUUUAAUAGGUAGAGUAGAGUUGAGAAGGUUGAUCGCUAGAGAAGGCAAGAGAACCGCUACCACGAAUUCGGAUCCGAGACCUGCCGACCAUCGCGACUGAGAAACAGGGAUAACGAAUAGUACAAGUGAACACGUACGAUGACUUCUAAGAAAAGAGAGAAAAGAAGAGACACGGUAUCUCGGUUGUUUCGCAACGAAAGGAUUGAAAGCUGGAGGUGAGUGACAAUAAAGGGCUAUUAUUUUUCCACACUCGUUUAGUCCCAGUGAUUCUUAUUUCUCGGAGAUUUUCUGACGCACCGUUACUAGUCUAACGAGAACUGAGAACAUUGUAUUUGUUAAAAAGAGAAAAAGUACAUAUGUACACACGCAAACAAACAGACAGACAGACAGAACAGACGGACAUACGCACACAUAUACGCGAUCUAGUACAUCAAAUAAUCAAAGAUACAAAUUCUACUAUCUGUAGCGUAUAUUUCACCGAUUGUUGCGAGAUACACGACAACAGGGUUCUGCAUCGAAAAUUGUGUACUUGGAAUGUUAUUAGUUAAUAUGUGAUAGAGAUGAUGUAAGACAAAGCAUUCCAUCAACUUUAUCGUACUUUGUUUGUUUCGACGUGUUUCUUCGAUACAGAGUAGUUUGUUCAAGUAUGCGAAAAAUGUAGGUUUUACUUGAAUUCGACGACAAGCGAACCGUAUAAUCUUUAAGGUGUAUUGUUUGGUGGUUGGUGCAAGAGUAGUGAAACAUUUUAUUCUGAAAUAUGGAACGUUGAAUUUGAAGAAGUCGGUUUUUUAUUCGAUCGGCAAUCGAUUCUUCUUGGACGACCGCGAUCGUUCGAAUGUAUCAAAUGUAAACGAAACGAAACGAAACGAAACGAAACGAAACGAAACGAAUCGAAUCGAAUCGAAUCGAUGAAAUGUCCCAUCGUCGUAAAUUAAUAUAUCGUCAAUCGAAUAAGAAACCAUUUCGAUAGAUAUUUCAGACUGUUUAAUAGCGAUACGCGUGUGCGUGUGCAUGGAGCUUUCGUUGAAUUUCGGACAAGGAAUAAAAAUGUUCCUCCUUUCGCGAUCAUGUCUUUUCUUGAAUUUUCGUUUGCGAAGAAAAUAUUCGUGUAAUUGAUUAAUUUGAAAAAUCGCUCCAUGAAUACGCAACGCCCAUGUUAAGCCAAUUAAUUGACAUUUCCAUGACAAACCCGUGACCCUUGAAUGAUCGAUUCUUUCGCAGCAUCGUAGAAACGUAGUUUCCUUUCACUUUCGAAACAACUUACACUCUUUUAGACAUAGUGGCAGAGCUGACGUAACUGAUAACAAUUAGAGUCUGCGUAGAGAGAUAUACGUAUGAUACAUACGUAGAUUUUUGUCGAGAAUUUCGACGAUGGUAAACAUGUAGGAAGUAACAGAGGGGGAACGCCAGGCCGGUGUUUACCCGUUUUUGCAACGAAUUUCCAAGAACGAAUUUCCAAGAAGAGUGUAUGUAGAAUGCCGAGGAUAAAUUGGCACAUCUUUCGACAUCGAUCCUGUAUUGUCAAACAACAGAAGGAAAAGAAAGUUUGUACGUUCCGUCGAUCGUCACUGGUACAUGGUCGAGUAUUGGUUGAGACGUCUGUUUAUAAAUGUCUGUUGGUUGCUCCGACGAGCAAGAUCGAUCUAGAAGGGGCGGCCAACUUAUCCCAGCAGCCCGUCCCGUCGCCUCGAUCAACGACGAUGUGGCCUAAUCGAACGAGAACAAACAAUUACGUAACACGUACGAAAUUUUUGAUGAAAUGGUACUUGUUUCUCCGCGAAAACGAUCGAGAUAAAAGCCAGUUGAAGGAAUCCUAAACAGACGAUACGAAUCGUUUACGAAAUGCUUUCUUGCAACUCGGAAUUUUGCCUGCGACGAACAAAAACUCAACAUUUUCCAGGAAGCCACACCAAGGACCGAGGGUUAAAGAUUAAACAAUCUCUCGAUAAAAUGUUGCAACGAUCAUUUCUCGAUGAAUCGCGAUAAGACAAGUUUUGUUAGGGUAGCAAUCGGCAUCCAAGCUAUAGAACGAAAAGAUCGUUAUACAGGAAACGUCGAUAAGAGAGCUUUGUAAUCUAUGACGCAAGCUAUCGGACGAUUCCGAUCGCGAAUUUUACAGGUACGCCGAGCGCGAAAACGAUCGAUGAGUCGGUUUAUCGCCUCGACGUUGUUUAAUGUUCACUCGAACGAAGCUAGGGGCAUUAGAAAGUCUAGGGAUAAGUGCUUUUCUAUUUCUACGUUUAACCGAGUACAAAAACUGUAUAUACUGUGUAUUAUUAUAUGUAUAUGUACAAGUGUAAGCAUGUAAGAAACGUAAGAGACGUAAUCGACGAUUUCGUCCAUUUUCGAUCCCAGUUCUAGUCACGUUAAGCUUCUUUUCGACGCCGACGCGUACCUUGCGUACGACACGCGAACCAAAAUACAUACACUCGCGAACCACUGAAAACGGAUUACUUUUAAAAGGCGCAUCCCGCGUUACGAUAACGAGCUGCACACGCGGAAACCACCUGGCUUUAGGAAUCGAGAAUCUCGCGUUGUAUCACGGCCACGGCCACGGCAUACAUUUCAUCGGCAGCGAAUUCGAGCGAAACUCGUAGCAUUUCAGAGGACACCGGGGACCUUUUUUUAAAUAAAAAAAAUCGUUAGAAACCGAGGGAGAAGAAAAGGAAGGAUACGCGACAGGCUCUUUGGCACUCUGGGACGAGCGAAGAAACGAAAAACCAGCAGUCGAGUUAACCAGCAGGGUGAAAUAAAAGAGUACCGACUGUAUUUAUUUAUGAACUGUAACAAUUACUUGUAUCGUU